AAACUUUCAACAAUGGAUCUCUUGGCUCUCGCAUCGAUGAAGAACGCAGCGAAAUGCGAUAAGUAAUAUGAAUUGCAGAAUUCCGUGAGUCAUCAAAUCUUUGAACGCAAAUUGCACUUCUUGGUAUUCCGAGGAGUACACAUGCUUGAGGGUCAGU
rnacentral:rRNA from 1 species